GACUGAUUGGUCAAGCAAGACAAUGACUUCUUGCUUCCAAGGGACCGUGGAGCACAAGAGGAAGCGCUGCCUUUGCCCAUGCCACAUCCACCUCCUGUUGAGGGCUGUCCUACUCACUCUGCAGAAGGAGAUGGCUGAGGCGCAGGGAGAAGCCAAGGGCAGCAGCCAGGAAUCCUGAGACCUGGCUCGUGUCCCGACUCUGCACUAACAGCGUGAGACGGUGGACACGUCCCCUCCCCGGGCCUCAGCCCCUGAUCUGUGAAAUAGGGUAGCAACGCAGGCUCACAUCACUUUCCGGGGCUGUUGUGAGCAUCGUGUGAGGCUCGCCUUGAGGACAUUUUUGGUCGUUUUUGCUAAGUGACCUCUGUCCUGUCUGCCAAGCCACAGACCCCGAGCCCAGGGCUCUCCCCCAUUCUUACCCCCACUUUCUGAGGCAGGCUCCGAGGUGAGGCCCUUGGUCAAGCCAGCAAGUGAAGCAGUCAAACGGAUGACCUCAAAGGCCGCUUCCAGGGGGAGGAGGGAACUGAUGUGUUUUGAGGGCCUACUGCAUGCUGGGAACUUCACCUUGAAGCCAACGGAAGCCCCUCGCUAACGCUGCAAGGUGGCCUCAGCUCGGUGCCCAGAAACACUUGCUCCUGCUCCAACUUCAUUCCCCUAAUGGUGUCUCAGCUCGGCGCCUGCUAGCCGCCCCCCUGCCCCCACACUCUGGCCAGCCCCGCCAGCCCCGGAGGACACCCAAGGUUAGUGGUCCCGGAGGACACCCAAGGUUAGUGUCGGGGGCAGCGUCAGGCUGCCCAGCUUCCCUGGGAUGAACUUUGAGGCAGACGGCUCUGUCCAGGGGGAAGAGGAGACCAGUACAAUGCAGAUUCCUGAAUGCUCCCUCCCCAGGACCCUCACUGGCCUGGUGCCCCGUGCCUCAGUUUCCCCUUGAGCACUGAGGCACCCCAAGCAGGAAGGAAAGAUGGGGAGGGGAACAGAGAGCCAUGUCAGAGGCCAGGUGGAGUUGGCUCUCUGUCCCAGGCAGGACGGCACCGCUUAACAUGACCAGAGCAAAGCAGGUUAACUCGAGGGCCAGGACCCAGGCCAAAGGGAGGAGGCCCAGGCCUGGAAGGGAGCGUGACAGCCUGGGGCCGAGGCUGCCGCCUCCUCCCAGAUCCUUGGGUCACCCACCUCGGACCCCAAGGACCAAAGACCCU
rnacentral:lncRNA from 1 species